CGCAAUGUUUCGAAUUACCUCACCAUGUUAGACAUUUUUUCAAAUGAUACACAACGACACAUCUAUUGCACAUAUAGGAUGGUAGAAACUGAAAUUUAGGCAGAUGCACAAAAUUAGACAAAAGAUUUAACAUAUCUGAAUCAUUUAGUGAAAGCAACACGGAGAGCUGUAGAGAUUACCUAAUUGAGCUUAGAUAACAACAGUCAAGAGACCAAACCAAGCUGAAUACAGCUACAAUUUGGAGCUCAUCCACAAAUUUAAAGGAGAACAACAACAAAAGUAAUGAAUCUAGCUGAAUCCACUUUGAAACCCAUGAAGAAAGAAUUCGAGUUUUGAAAUAAACUUUUCUUCAAUAUUUCUUCGAUUUUGUUGGGGUUCACGUUCAUGAGAAGAUGAAGAGAGAGAAGAGGGAGGGUAGCGCCGUUGCUAGGUUCCAGUCAUGGAAUGGGGAUCUCUAUGAUUUCUUGUGUUUUUGAUUGAGGAUGAGAGAAUCAAGCUUUUGUUUUGAGAUGAGCGUCCCUUUUGGAAUGGUUGAAAUGGCGUUAGAGACGGUGGGAGUCUCUGACCUUGUUCUCUGAUGUUGAAGACCAGAGAUGCGCUGCUCCUCGUUUUCUUUUUUUUUUAGGGGAGGGUGCAGGGAUCUAAUGGUCUGUUUU
rnacentral:lncRNA from 1 species